UAAAAAAGACUUGGUUUUGUAGAACCUGUGCGGUUGAUUUCUUAUAUUGUGAGCCCUUUGGUUUCCUUUCAAGUCACUCACGCCAUGCGGUCACUUCGGAGUGUCAAGUGCCUUGCUGCUUCCAUCAAGUGGUCCUGGCUGAAUUAUCUUCCGGGGAAGACAACUAGGCUUGUGAAAUCUCAUGCCUGACAGGACAAUUUUGCAUGACACUUCUGACCUGCAUGUCAAGAGAAAACGCAAGAUUGAAGAAGCCCAGAUCGCAAGGGAAGUUGAAGUUAAUGAAAACUGAAUUCGCAAAGCACUAGAGAAAGAAAAUAUUUUGAGGAGAAAGGCUGAGGAACGAAUGAGGAAAGAGAUGGAAAGAUUUGAUCGUGAAAGAAGGAAGGAAGAAGAAAGGUUGAUGCGUGAACAGCAGAGAGAGGAGGAGAGAUUGCUACAUGAGCAAAGGCGAGAAUCAGAGUGACGGGAGAAGUAUUUACAGAAAGAAUCUAUUAAGGCGGAGAAAAAGAGACAAAAGAAGAGCUUCGUCGAGAAAAAGAAGCAGAGAGACGAAAAGCUGCAGUGGAGAAGGCCACUGCUGGCAGAAUUGCCAAGGAAUCCACGGAGCAUAUGGAGGAUGAACAGCUGGAGUUGAUGGAAUUGGCCGCUGCAAGCAAGGGGUUGCCUUCAAUCAUUAAUCUCGAUCAUGUCACUAUGCAGAACGUUGAGUUGUUCAGAGGUAGGUUUUUUAUAGCGAUUACUGUUAAG